GCGGAGUUCUCGCGAGGCUCUGGACCCGAGUCUCGCGUGCAGCGUCUGCACACGGCCCCCGCCGCCAUCUUGAUUGCGUUGGGGAACCCGGUACAGUGCUGCCCACACAGCCAGGCUGCUGAAGGGCCUGAAGUUCCAGGUGCGAGGCCUCUCCGUCGGCCCCUGCGAGCCAAUGAAACUAGACUGAGCACGGAGGAAAAGGAAAAAAAAAGAUUAGCUUUUAUUUUCUUACCUGGAUUCUAUCUUUAUUUCUCAGGAAUUGUUAAUGUGGUUUACUGGUUCAAACCUAAAUAUCACACAAUGAAGGAAAAAUACAUUAUAGUCCUGUCCUAACAGGUGGCUCAGUGAUAAAGAACCUUCCUGCCCAUGCAGAAGAGGGAAAGAGACGCAGGUUCAGCCCCCGGGUUGGAAAGAUCCCCUGGAGGAGGGCAUGGAAACCCACUCCAGUAUUCUUGCCUGGAGAAUCCCAUGGACAGAGAAGCCUGGUGGGCUACAGUCCCUGGGGUCACACAGACACGGACAUGACUGAGCAGCUGAGCACACACAGCAUACAUAAAAUAGAAAAUACAAUGUUGGCUAGCCCUAAGAACUAAGGCAUAAAGUCCCUCCAAACACACUUGCUCAUUCCCAGCCUCAAAGAAGACACCACCCUGACACCCAUGGUCACUCGCGAGAGAUGCUGAGGAGCCUCCCAAACCAGAAUCAUCUUGGAGCUUUGUCCUCUAUUCUGUAGAUGAGCCAGCAUCCGCUGUACCUCCUCAGAUCUCAUCACAGCGUCUUAGCUCCAUCUGCACCUGGGUGUGUAUUGUGUCUGUCCGUGAGCUUUCGACCCCUGGAGGCCGGACCUAUGGGCAUCACUCUCCUUCUCUUCAUGUCUCCUUAGGAUGGAGGAAGUCAACAGAGUAGCCACUGCAGGGUCCUAUGGAAACAGGGCUCCUGAAGAACUGUAAGGGUAAGAAGCGGAAGCCUUCUCUUACAUCUGCGUUUGUAUCGUGUAGUUCAAUGUAAGUGUUAAC
ensembl:lncRNA